UACGUAGGGGGCAAGCGUUGUCCGGAUUCAUUGGGCGUAAAGGGUGCGUAGGCGGCGCGGUAAGUCGGGUGUGAAAUCUCGGAGCUUAACUCCGAAACUGCAUUCGAUACUGCCGUGCUUGAGGACUGGAGAGGAGACUGGAAUUUACGGUGUAGCGGUGAAAUGCGCAGAUAUCAGGAGGAACACCAAUGGCGAAGGCAGCUCGCUGGAACGGAACUGACGCUGAGGCGCGAAAGCGUGGGGAGCAAACAGG
rnacentral:rRNA from 1 species